rnacentral:rRNA from 1 species
UACGUAGGGUGCUAGCGUUGUUCGGAAUCAUUGGGCGUAAAGCGCGUGUAGGCGGUCAGGCAAGUCAGAUGUGAAAUCCCUGGGCUCAACCGAGGAAGUGCAUCCGAAACUGCUUGGCUAGAAGACGGUAGAGGAAGGUGGAAUUCCUAGUGUAGAGGUGAAAUUCGUAGAUAUUAGGAGGAAUACCGGUGGCGAAGGCGGCCUUCUGGGCCGAUCUUGACGCUGAGACGCGAAAGCGUGGGGAGCAAACAGG